AUGAAGUCCCUGUCUCUGCUCCUCGCUGUGGCUUUGGGCCUGGCGACCGCCGUCUCGGCAGGACCCGCGGUGAUCGAGUGUUGGUUCGUGGAGGAUGCGAGCGGAAAGGGCCUGGCCAAGAGACCCGGUGCACUGCUGUUGCGCCAGGGAACGGGGGGACCGCCGCCCCGGCUGGACCUCGACCCUGAGCUCUACCUCAACGUGCACGAUCCCGCGGGCGCCCUCCAGGCUGCCUUCAGGCGGUAUCCCCGGGGCGCCCCCGCACCACACUGCGAGAUGAGCCGCUUCGUGCCUCUCCCCGCCUCUGCGAAAUGGGCCAGCGGCCUGACCCCGGCGCAGAACUGCCCGCGGGCCCUGGAUGGGGCUUGGCUGAUGGUCAGCAUAUCCAGCCCAGUCCUCAGCCUCUCCACCCUCUUGCGACCACAGCCAGAGCCUCAGCAGGAGCCUGUUCUCAUCACCAUGGCAACAGUGGUACUGACUGUCCUCACCCACACCCCUGCCCCUCGAGUGAGACUGGGACAAGAUGCUCUGCUGGACUUGAGCUUUGCCUACAUGCCCCCCACCUCUGAGGCCGCCUCAUCUCUGCCUCCGGGUCCCCCUCCCUUUGGGCUAGAGUGGCGACGCCAGCACCUGGGUAAGGGACAUCUGCUCCUGGCUGCAACUCCUGGGCUGAAUGGCCAGAUGCCAGCAGCCCAAGAAGGGGCCGUGGCAUUUGCUGCUUGGGAUGAUGAUGAGCCAUGGGGCCCAUGGACCGGAAAUGGGACCUUCUGGCUGCCUAGAGUUCAACCCUUUCAGGAGGGCACCUAUCUGGCCACCAUACACCUGCCACACCUGCAAGGACAGGUCACCCUGGAGCUUGCUGUGUACAAACCCCCCAAAGUGUCCCUGAUGCCAGCAACCCUUGCACGGGCCGCCCCAGGGGAGGCACCCCCAGAGUUGCUCUGCCUUGUGUCCCACUUCUACCCUUCUGGGGGCCUGGAGGUGGAGUGGGAACUCCGGGGUGGCCCAGGGGGCCACUCGCAGAAGGCCGAGGGGCAGAGGUGGCUCUCGGCCCUGCGCCACCAUUCCGAUGGCUCUGUCAGCCUCUCUGGGCACUUGCAGCUGCCCCCAGUCACCACUGAGCAGCAUGGGGCACGCUAUGCCUGUCGAAUUCACCAUCCCAGCCUGCCUGCCUCAGGGCGCAGCGCUGAGGUCACCCUGGAGGUAGCAGGUAAGAGCUGGGAGCUCCGCAGAGCCUGA
rnacentral:sRNA from 1 species